UGGGGAAUAUUGGACAAUGGGCGAAAGCCUGAUCCAGCCAUGCCGCGUGUGUGAAGAAGGUCUUCGGAUUGUAAAGCACUUUAAGUUGGGAGGAAGGGUUGUAGAUUAAUACUCUGCAAUUUUGACGUUACCGACAGAAUAAGCACCGGCUAACUCUGUGCCAGCAGCCGCGGUAAUACAGAGGGUGCAAGCGUUAAUCGGAAUUACUGGGCGUAAAGCGCGCGUAGGUGGUUAGUUAAGUUGGAUGUGAAAUCCCCGGGCUCAACCUGGGAACUGCAUUCAAAACUGACUGACUAGAGUAUGGUAGAGGGUGGUGGAAUUUCCUGUGUAGCGGUGAAAUGCGUAGAUAUAGGAAGGAACACCAGUGGCGAAGGCGACCACCUGGGCUGUUACUGACGCUGAGGAGCGAAAGCAUGGGGAGCGAACA
rnacentral:rRNA from 1 species